CCUACGGGGAGCUGCAGUGGGGAAUAUUGGACAAUGGGCGAAAGCCUGAUCCAGCCAUGCCGCGUGUGUGAAGAAGGCCUUCGGGUUGUAAAGCACUUUCAGUGGGGAAGAAAGCCUUGGGGCUAAUACCCUCGAGGAAGGACAUCACCCACAGAAGAAGCACCGGCUAACUCCGUGCCAGCAGCCGCGGUAAUACGGAGGGUGCGAGCGUUAAUCGGAAUUACUGGGCGUAAAGCGCGCGUAGGCGGUCUGAUAAGCCGGUUGUGAAAGCCCCGGGCUCAACCUGGGAACGGCAUCCGGAACUGUCAGGCUAGAGUGCAGGAGAGGAAGGUAGAAUUCCCGGUGUAGCGGUGAAAUGCGUAGAGAUCGGGAGGAAUACCAGUGGCGAAGGCGGUCUUCUGGACUGACACUGACGCUGAGGUGCGAAAGCGUGGGUAGCAAACAGGAUUAGAUACCCGAGUAGUC
rnacentral:rRNA from 1 species